rnacentral:lncRNA from 1 species
UCCUCUCAAUUAAUUCUUAUAAUAAUAACAAUAAUUAAAAAUUAAUAUUUAAUAAUAAUGAUAUUAUUAUUACUGAAUGAUAAUUUUAUUAUUAUUAUUAUUAUUAUUAUUAUUACUAGUAUUUAGUAUAUGUGGUAAAGGGCUUGGUGGUUGGUACUUGAAGUUCUGAGUUUAAAUCAUAGUUAAUUCACAUUUUCGUUGAUUCAUACUUUCAGCUAAAUUAAUUUAUUUCUAAAAAAAAUAAAUGAAGAGGGUAGCAUCAUGCUAUCUUUCUGAAAAAAAACAUUCAGUAAUAAUAAUAUUUAUUAUUAUUAAAUAUUAAUUUUUAAUUAAUAUUAUUAUAACAAAAAUUAAUUAUUUUUAAAUAUUAGUAGGGUGGGAGGAGAGAGAGAAAAAAAUUUCUCUCUCCUAAUUAGCAUAUAAAUACUAUUAAAGUUAUCUUUUAUUUUCUAAUUAUCAAAAGAAGGCUAGGUUAGGAAUUUUUUUUAAAAGGAGAUUAGAUUGGGAAUUUUUUUUUGUAAUAAGGCUAUACAUGGCAUUAGUUCUAAUUA